GGGGGGAAGGCAGGCAGCGGCAAGGCACGGAGAGCAAGCCUGCUGCCAGGAGCCCGAGGAAGCAGACAGCCCCCAUCCUGGGCACCACCCUGCAGAAGGAAGCUGCCCUUAAGUACCUCCCACAUCCUCCCGCCGGACCUCGGAGCCGCCGUGUCCCCGCCACUCCCAGGGGUGCAGCACAGCAUGCAGCCUGCCCUGCCACGCAGAGCUUCGGGACAGCUGCCCACGGCUCCCUCUCCAAAGGCAAGCAGAGGCAGC